CAGUCGCCGCGGGAAUACGAAGGGUGCAAGCGUUAAUCGGAAUUACUGGGCGUAAAGCGUGCGUAGGCGGUGAGUUAAGUCUGCUGUGAAAUCCCCGGGCUCAACCUGGGAAUGGCAGUGGAUACUGGCUCGCUAGAGUGUGUCAGAGGAUGGUGGAAUUCCCGGUGUAGCGGUGAAAUGCGUAGAGAUCGGGAGGAACAUCAGUGGCGAAGGCGGCCAUCUGGGACAACACUGACGCUGAGGCACGAAAGCGUGGGGAGCAAACAGGAUUAGAUACCCCAGUAGUCCUGUCUCUUAUACA
rnacentral:rRNA from 1 species